AGAAAUUGCACAGUCAAACGAUGACUGCGAGAAAAGAUGGUACAACAUCCAGUCCAAGUCAAGGCAAGAAAUAUCUGCUUUCAAGAGACAGCUCAGUGGCACUGAAGUCAGGAAGCUGCUGUCGUUGAAGCUGAAGCCUGCUUCCCCCUGGAUGUGCUAGCCUCACCCCAGCCCAGCUGUGCAGCUACUGCAGCAUUCUCCACUCAAGUUCUACCCUGCACAAUGAACGGGCACAUCAGUGACAAAGAACUUUCCAGGAAAAAAACAUUGUUGCAGAUUGAUGUGCUUCAGCUUCAGAAAGAAUUAUUAAUGCUUAAAUUGGAAAAGAUGAAGACAGAUCAAUCUGAUAAGUAAAUGCAAGAACUAUGUCUGUACAUGCUUUCCAAUAUCAAAAUUGUUUGAAUUACUACAGGGGUAACAUGGUUAUAGUAGAGAUAUUGAAGUUACUCCUUAAAAAUUAUGUUUGUACUGA